GCAGGGCGUGACCAUCCUGGAGCUGCAUGGAGGUGGUGGUCGCAUCACGUCGAGAAUGUUCCUUACCUUGGCAUCAGGACUCCAGGAGAGGCCGCCCCGGAAUGUUCCGCCCUGGCUCGAUGCCUGCCGGGCCGCGUGGCGGGCACAACGGUGCGGUUCACACCCCUGGUCCCACAGAAGCCCCUGGGGACUGGUGGCCAUGGAGGGACGUCACCCAGGCCUGAAUUGUGCUUUGGAGCUGAAAAGUCGCUGUCUCACAAGACCCAAGGCGGUAGGGUGCAGCAGCAGCCUGCCUGGCUAGAGAGGGAAGUCGGCCAUGAAUGAAUGAACGGGUUUGCUGCAGAGUCUGUGAGGCUUCAGGACAUUUUCUGGGUGAGGAGCCGGCCGGGGAGCGCGCCCACCUCUGCGGCAGCUCCGAUUGGCGCGUUUUCUCCAGCCUCCUGAGCAGCCUUGCCAAGUGUCAUAAAAAUACAUCAGUGCUCCGGCCGCCCAGAGUCGUACUUACUGCCAG
rnacentral:lncRNA from 1 species